rnacentral:rRNA from 1 species
AGGGUUCGAUUCUGGCUCAGGAUGAACGCUGGCGGCGUGCCUAAUACAUGCAAGUCGAACGAGGGUGCUUGCACCCUAGUGGCGAACGGGUGAGUAACACGUAGGUAACCUGCCCUUAAGCUUGGGAUACCCAGAGGAAACUUUGGCUAAUACCGGAUAACAACAGAUGAGGCAUCUCAACUGUUUGAAAGGCCCCUUCAAGGGUCACUUAAGGAUGGACCUGCGGCGCAUUAGCUAGUUGGUGAGAUAACAGCCCACCAAGGCGAGGAUGCGUAGCCGAACUGAGAGGUUGAUCGGCCACAUUGGAACUGAGACACGGUCCAAACUCCUACGGGAGGCAGCAGUAAGGAGUUUUCGGCAAUGGGGGAAACCCUGACCGAGCAACGCCGCGUGAGUGAUGACGGGCCCCCUAUGGGUUGUAAAGCUCUUUUAUUAGAGACGAAUGGUGAGCUUAGGAAAUGAAGCUCACUUGACUGUAUCUUUUGAAUAAGCCACGGCUAACUACGUGCCAGCAGCCGC